AUUCCUGUAGCACCUUAAAGACCAACUAAGUUUGCUAUUGGUAAUACCAAUAACAAACUUAGUUGGUCCCUAAGGUGCAACUGGAAG